CUCUCCUGCUGCUGCUGUGGGGCCCUGAGAUAGCGUCUGCUUUCUUGCCUCUACCCAGCCAGGUAGUGUUAGGCAGCAGGGUGUUGUUUUUUGUUUUGAUGUGAACCAUUUUUAAAGUCAUUUUUGGAAUGUGUUACAAUAUUACUUCUGUUUUAUGUGUUGUUUUUUUGCCCAUGAGGCAUGUGGGAUCUUAACACCCAACCAGGGAUCGAACCCACUCCUCCUGUGUUGGAAGGGGAAGUCUUAACCACUAGACUACUACGGAAGUCCCAAGCAGCAGGCUUUCCAUGGAUUUGGCAAAGGUAGGCCAGACUUGCUGGGACCAACCAAGGCACAGACUGGUUUUCUUCCACACUUUCUGAUUCCCUGAAACAUACGAGGGUACCUUGAUGUACUUCAGUCAGUUCAGUCGCUCAGUCGUGUCCGACUCUUUGCGACCCCAUGGACUGCAGCACGCCAGGCCUCCCUGUCCCUCAUCCACUCCCGGAGUUCACUCAAGCUCAUGUCCAUUGAGUCGGUGAUGCCGUCCAGCCAUCUCAUCCUCUGUAUCUGUCUCUUCUGCCAUUGCCGCCUCCUGUUCUCCUAAGUAUGAGUGUUCCUCCAGCUUCAUCCAUGUUUGUUUUCUUGCCGGACAGUUUCAGCCUCACCUGUGCCUUCAGCCACCUGCUGAUCUACCUUGAAGACUCCCAGAUGUCUGUCUCAAGUUGUGAAUUUCGCCCUCCAGCCUCCAGAUCAUUCUCCGAAACAGCUCACUAUGUAUCUCUGUGUCUUGAUUUGUAUGAUGGUUAAAGGCGUUGACGUGGGUUUGCAGCUUAA